rnacentral:rRNA from 1 species
CAGGCCUAACACAUGCAAGUCGAGCGGUAGAGAGAAGCUUGCUUCUCUUGAGAGCGGCGGACGGGUGAGUAAUGCCUAGGAAUCUGCCUGGUAGUGGGGGAUAACGUUCGGAAACGGACGCUAAUACCGCAUACGUCCUACGGGAGAAAGCAGGGGACCUUCGGGCCUUGCGCUAUCAGAUGAGCCUAGGUCGGAUUAGCUAGUUGGUGNGGUAAUGGCUCACCAAGGCGACGAUCCGUAACUGGUCUGAGAGGAUGAUCAGUCACACUGGAACUGAGACACGGUCCAGACUCCUACGGGAGGCAGCAGUGGGGAAUAUUGGACAAUGGGCGAAAGCCUGAUCCAGCCAUGCCGCGUGUGUGAAGAAGGUCUUCGGAUUGUAAAGCACUUUAAGUUGGGAGGAAGGGUUGUAGAUUAAUACUCUGCAAUUUUGACGUUACCGACAGAAUAAGCACCGGCUAACUCUGUGCCAGCAGCCGCGGUAAUACAGAGGGUGCAAGCGUUAAUCGGAAUUACUGGGCGUAAAGCGCGCGUAGGUGGUUUGUUAAGUUGGAUGUGAAAUCCCCGGGCUCAACCUGGGAACUGCAUUCAAA